rnacentral:tRNA from 1 species
GUGUCCAGGGAUGGGAAUCGAACCCACAGUGUUCCGCUUACCAGGCAGAUACCAUGUCCACUAGGCUAGUUA